GUCGAGGAUUUUUCUCAAUGGGGGAAACCCUGAAGGAGCGACGCCGCGUGAGGGAUGAAGGUCUUCGGAUUGUAAACCUCUGUCAUGCGGGAUCAAAGCUUACGACCUAAUACGUCGUAAGUUGAUAGUACUGCAAGAGGAAGCAGUGGCUAACUCUGUGCCAGCAGCCGCGGUAAUACAGAGACUGCAAGCGUUGUUCGGAUUCAUUGGGCGUAAAGGGUCCGCAGGCGGUCGGGUAAGUCGGAUGUGAAAGCUCGUGGCCUAACCACGAAAUGUCAUUCGAAACUGCUCGGCUAGAGGACUGGAGAGGAGACUGGAAUGGUCGGUGUAGCGGUGAAAUGCGUAGAUAUCGACCAGAACACCAGUAGCGAAGGCGAGUCUCUGGACAGUUCCUGACGCUCAUGGACGAAAGCCAGGGGAGCAAACGGGAUUAGAUACCCUAGUAGUCC
rnacentral:rRNA from 1 species